rnacentral:rRNA from 1 species
AGAGUUUGCUUUUGGCUCAGGAUGAACGCUGGCGGCGUGCUUAACACAUGCAAGUCGAACGGAAAUUACUUUAUUGAAACUUCGGUCGAUUUAAUUUAAUUCUAGUGGCGGACGGGUGAGUAACGCGUGGGUAACCUGCCUUAUACAGGGGGAUAACAGUCAGAAAUGGCUGCUAAUACCGCAUAAGCGCACAGAGCUGCAUGGCUCAGUGUGAAAAACUCCGGUGGUAUAAGAUGGACCCGCGUUGGAUUAGCUUGUUGGUGGGGUAACGGCCCACCAAGGCGACGAUCCAUAGCCGGCCUGAGAGGGUGAACGGCCACAUUGGGACUGAGACACGGCCCAGACUCCUACGGGAGGCAGCAGUGGGGAAUAUUGCACAAUGGGGGGAACCCUGAUGCAGCGACGCCGCGUGAAGGAAGAAGUAUCUCGGUAUGUAAACUUCUAUCAGCAGGGAAGAUAGUGACGGUACCUGACUAAGAAGCCCCGGCUAACUACGUGCCAGCAGCCGCGGUAAUACGUAGGGGGCAAGCGUUAUCCGGAUUUACUGGGUGUAAAGGGAGCGUAGACGGUGUGGCAAGUCUGAUGUGAAAGGCAUGGGCUCAACCUGUGGACUGCAUUGGAAACUGUCAUACUUGAGUGCCGGAGGGGUAAGCGGAAUUCCUAGUGUAGCGGUGAAAUGCGUAGAUAUUAGGAGGAACACCAGUGGCGAAGGCGGCUUACUGGACGGUAACUGACGUUGAGGCUCGAAAGCGAGGGGAGCAAACAGGAUUAGAUACCCUGGUAGUCCACGCCGUAAACGAUG